rnacentral:lncRNA from 1 species
CAUAGAGACGGUAAUUCUAAAGAAAGGAUUUUCAUUUGUAAGUGCCAAAUGACGAAAUUAAAAGGUAAACCGAACUGUCACCACACGAUCCGAUGCCAUCAACACGAGGAACACAUCCAGCUUCUUUCGACAUGUGUGGAUGUGUAAAGAUGAUUGAACAAUUUAAUUAAUGAAUCUUCGCCAUAAAACUUAUACAAUGCACGAAUGACAGGGACAGCUUCCAAUUUGUCAGUGGCUUAUUGACCGGUGAUCCAUUUAAUAGCAGAACAAAAUCUUCACACCAGGAGCCCCAUUUAGAAUUCCACACGGCACAAGAUGCACAAGGAAAACACGAUUCAAAAGGAGAACCACUGGCACUGAUCCAAAGAAUUCCCUUACUGGUUCCAGCGGUUUGCAGAUUUCGUCAAACAUCAAUCUUGGUAUGUUUAAUUUAUAAAAAAGUUGAUGUUUUGUGGCGUAUAAUUAUGCUAAUUUAUAUUUAUCUCAUAAUGAAUAAGAUUGAUAUGAUAGUGAUAAAGAUAAGAUUUACUGAAAGGACUAUUUUUUAUUAUUAUUUGAUGUGAUAUAUUUAAUUUGAAUUUCACAUGAGCAAUAUGAUCGCACUGUGGCCUUUUUACCUGUCCCUACUUUAAUGUACAAUAUCUUAUAUAACCAUGCAGUCAUUUGCAAGACGCACCUAGCGCUAUUACACACAAGAUACACACGAGGGCAUUAAGUGCAAGUUCGUCAACCUUUAUCUCAAUUAAUAACAUGAUACCACUAAAUAUAUACACAACUAUACACUAUGUGUUAGUUGACUCAUCUGACGUAAAUGAAAUACACUAUAUGAGAAUUCGAAGACAAAGGACAAAUUUUGUGGCGGAUGAUGCUAUAUAUAUAGCUUUAGAAUAAAUCCAAGCUGUCGAUGGCUUCGAUUAUUUACACGUGCAAAUUCUUUGAACAGUCUUUAAUAUUUCCUAAUACUGUUCGAUACACUUUAAUCGGCAUUACUAUAAAGAAAAAUAUACAUGUAUAAUUUAUGCCUACAGUUUUCUCGUUUGAUUGUUUAAAAAUGUUUUAUAACAUUUUUCUUUUUGGGUUUUUAAUUACUCACUAAUGCGGUAUGGGCUUUGCUCAUUGUUGAAGGCAGUACAAUGCCUUAUUGUUAUUAAUGCAGUAUUGGCCCUGCUCAUCAUUGAAGGCAGUAAAGUGACUUAUUGUUAUUAAUGCGGCAUGGGCUCUGCUAGUUGUUGAAGGCAAUAAAAAGAAUUAUUGUUGUUAAUGCGGUAUGGGCCCUGCUCAUGGUUGAAGGCAGUAAAAUGACUUAUUGUUAUUAAUGCAGUAUUGGUCCUGCUCAUUAUUGAAGACAGUAAAGUGACUUAUUGUUCCUAAUGCGGCAUGGGCUCUGCUCAUUGUUGAAGCCAGUAAAAAGACUUAUUGUUGUUAAUGCGGUAUGGGCCCUGCUCAUUGUUUAAUGCAGUACAAUGACUUAUUGUUAAUGAUUUCUUUGCCUUUUCGUCUACUGUGAAGAGUUGUCUCAUUGAUUCAUACCAAUUCAUUUUUACAUGAGUGAGUUACUCAGUUACAUGUAUAUAUAUAUAUAUAUAUAUAAGUACGUCUGAGUCAGUGACAACCCUACAACAGAUGUAUCCAUCGGAUCGCCAUCAGAGAUGGUGAUACAUGGCUGUGCACAUAAUGUAUAUACAACUCGUCUAAACAUCAACCCAACAAUGUUAGAUCUGUAAAUUUGCUUUCGCAAAUUUUUGGUUCUUCCCUCGCCGGGAUUCGAACCCAUGCUAAGGCAUGAAGAUGUUAUUGUUACAGAUCAGCUAAAUUUAGCUGAUCUGUAACAAUAAUAUCUUCAUGCCUUUUAUAUCAUGUACUGUAGUACGCCGCUAGAUUAAAACUGACGUGGAAAGGUAACACAUGGCAGCGAAAGCUCUUUUUUUUGAGAGCCCAGGUGGUCGUGUGGUCUAGCGGGACGGCUGCAGUGCAGGCGAUUUGGUGUCACGAUAUCACAGUAGCAUGGGUUCAAUCCCGGCGAGGGAAGAACCAAAAAUGUGCGAAAGCAAAUUUACAGAUCUAACAUUGUUGGGUUGAUGUUUAGACGAGUUGUAUAUAUAUAUAUAUACAUUCAAUUUGCGUUUCUAUUCUUGUUAGCUUGCUUGCUUUAAUUUAUGCAUGUUUCACUUUGCCCAGCUUUUACAUUAUGCAUGUGUAAUAUGCUUAUAAUUUGAUAUCUGAUUUUUGUCAGCUCGCCCUACCGAGCUCGUUGAUAUUAUUGCUGAUAAAGUCAGUAUCAAAAACAAACAAAAAGGGAUAUUAUUCUAUAUAUUUGAUAUGACUGCAAUUAUCUCCCUCAACACAAUUUGUAAAAUGAAUUAUAUACACAUUUUAACUUGCAUGUUACAUAUUACUUUUAACAUGCGUUAAUAUCUGACAAAAAACCUGUAGAUUUUCCACCCUUGAAUCACGAGAUGUACUGAAAAAACGUCAGACACGCGAAAUUGUUUCUUUUAAAAUUGUAACACGAUGAUGACUGCUGUACCCAUGUUUUGACCAUUUAUUUAUUAUGUCUGUUUAGUUCACGCAUCAUUGUAAAUAUAACGGAAUUUGAUCAGUCUGAGAGGUUUAACGCUAUAAAACCAGGUUUAAUCCACCAAUUUCUACAUUUGAAAAUGCCUGUACCAAGUCAGGAAUAUGACAGUUGGUGUCCAUUCGUAUUUGAUGAGUUUUUUCAUUUGAUUUUGCCAUGUGAUUAGGGACUUUCUGUUUUGACUUUCCUCUGAGUUUUUUUUACAGAUAUUUGAGGUAAGUUGAGGUAAGUAAGAGAGGAAUUUUCUGCGAUGUAGACAAUAUAUAAAUAAGUGAUUUUGUUCAAGGACGAAAUAUUCAUAUAAGAAGAGUUUUGAAAUAGAAUGGUGCUAUUAGCAAUAAGUUUUGUUCUGUUUUGUCAAAAUAAGUUCAACUAUCCCUGAUGUAUUUAUUGAUAUACAAAUCAAUGAUUCAACCUCAUUUAAUUCUUUUUUUAUUCGUAGUUUUUACGUCACGCAGGCUAAUAUUUACAAACUCGUUAUUUAGGAAGUGUUGAUACACAUACAUGUAUAUUUGAAAUAUACAUACUAUAUAUGUUAUGUGGACCUAAGACACCGUGCCCCCUAAAAAAUAUCCCAUUUUUAUUUUCAAUACACAACUUUAUCUGAAUCAAACUUUUAAUUGGUACAUGUAUUUAAUUUUCAAAGUUUUAUAUUUUGAACGGGACGUCCGCACAUAAAAGAAAAUGCAUUGGCAUGACACGGGUUAUGUUCUUCUCAUACAUUUAAUGAUGGUAUAAUACUUAACCCCUAACGGGAGGGAUUGUGUCUGAUAUUCAUAUGAUGAAGACAUAAUCUUUCAAUCAGUUUAAUUGAGGUCUGUCAGUAACUGCUAGUAGUCUGUUUAAUGUCAUUUUGUUUAUACUCUUUUGUUACCUCUUCUGACAUCGGACUCGGACUUCUCUUCAACUGAAUUUUACUGUGCGUAUUGUUAUGCGUGUACUUUUCUACAUUGGCUAGAUGUAUAGGGGAGGGUUGAAAUCUCAAAAAAACAUGUUUAACCCCGCCGCAUUUUUGCGCCUGUCCGAAGUCAAGAGCCUCUGGCCUUUGUUAGUCUUGUAGGAUUUUGUAUUUUAGUUUCUUGUGUAUAAUUUGGAGUUUAGUAUGACGUCCAUUAUCACUGAACUAGUAUAUAUAUUUGUUUAGGGGCCAGAUGCAGGACGACUCCGGGUGCAGGAGUCUCUCGCUGCAUUGAAGACCUAUUGGUGACCUGCUGUUGUCAGUUCUAUGGUCGGGUAGGUGAUUCAUUGACACAUUCCCCAAUUCCAUUCUCAAUUGUAUUACCUCUUUUCUAUCACAAAUUGAUCAUCAAUCAAACUUUACAAUAAAUAUCUUACAUUUCA